UCGUACAGGUUUCCGUAGGUGAACCUGCGGAAGGAUCAUUAAUGAUUGACCCUCUGGGUCUUAUCUUAACAUCCCUCACCUCUGUGAACCGUUUGACCUCCGGGUCUUACAAAACCAUUACAAACAUCAGUGUAAAGAACGUCUUGUUAUCUUAACAAAAACAAAACUUUCAACAACGGAUCUCUUGGCUCUCGCAUCGAUGAAGAACGCAGCGAAAUGCGAUAAGUAAUGUGAAUUGCAGAAUUCAGUGAAUCAUCGAAUCUUUGAACGCACCUUGCGCCUUUUGGUAUUCCGAAAGGCAUGCCUGUUUGAGUGUCAUGAAAUCUCAAUCCCAUCUGGUUUAUGACCGGGUGUUGGACUUGGACAUGGGUGUCUGCCGGUCAAAGGGCUCGCCUCAAAUGACUUAGUGGGAUCGCUUGCAUCCGUGACAGACGUAAUAAGUUUCGUCUUGUCCCUUGCUCUGCGUACGCCUGCUCAGAACCAAGCUGUCUUGCCUUCACCGGCCUGACGCACUUUUUUGACUCUAACCUCAAAUCAGGUAGGACUACCCGCUGAACUUAAGCAUAUCA
rnacentral:rRNA from 1 species